rnacentral:lncRNA from 1 species
CCCAUAUUCAAGCGCAGGUGUCCAUGCCAUGCUCGAGGCUAUUUCCCAAGGAAGCGGCUCCUGAACUUUCCGUGCAUCGUACAUCCAUGAAAUUGGAACGUCCAUUAUAAACAAAAGUUCCGAAUCCAUGAACCGUGAAUUAAAAAUUAAAUCAAAAUGUAACAUCCGAUCAAAGUCAAGCUUCAAGGCCAGAAUUAUACCAAAGUUGAAUUUGAAAAUUCAGAACUAACGAAAAUACGAAAGUUCUUGGAUCCAAGGAAGUUGGACGAAAGAAUAACCGAAAAAUGAAAUGCUGUGGAAUAAGAUGCGAUCCUCACAAAAGCUUUUCCCGAAGCGUCGGAGACACGAUUGCGUGCCGCGAUCAGAAUCAUUCGCAAUUUAAGCUAAAAAAAUCUUGAAAUUAUACGAUAAAUCUCCAAAGAAAUGAUUGCCAAUCAACUUCCUUGAGUGAGAUUAAUUAUUCGUAAUUAAUUCUUUCUAUAUCGCGGAAAUAUUACGUCAAAAAUGUUCUGGCUCUAUAAAUUAGGCGUAGAUUUUAUUUUCGUUUUACUUCUUUUUUUUAAUUUUCUUCAACUUUGUAGAGCUUGGAACCAUCUUUUAGAGGGGAAAAAACCAGAAAUUUCUAUUAUUUUAACAGAGAACUAGAAUAGCAUUUUCAUUUCACGAGCCGAACAAAUCGUCCGCUUAAUUAAUUGACCUCGGCUUGGGGAGAAAAUCAAAUGUGUGACUAUCAAAAAGGAAAAGGCCGAUCAUUAAAGAGGAAUUAAUGCGAUCGAGCGAUCGAUUCGAAUUCGACAUAAAUCACGUUGCUGGAUUAAUUUUAAGGGUCAUGCCCGCAGCGCCGUUAGAUCGAGCCCUAAGCUCCCAUGAUUUUGGUCAAAAGUGUGAAACGGACGGUCGAUAUCGAUUGAUUAUUCCAAAAACAUAGGGAGGAAUAUGCCAUUGGGCUCUUCUCCAAAGAGUUGUCUUUCUUCUAAUAUUUAAAGGCACUAUGGUUAUCGACCCUUUAUUCCCGCACAAAUCACGGUUUUACCCCCCGGGGAGAUGCACGUUUAUCGUAAGCAAUUAGGUAAUAUGCUUGAAUCAUUCAACCUCUUUUUCAUCGCUGCCACCUUUCUACAAACAUUUUAAUUAGGUAAGUAUAUCAUAAGUUCUAAAAUUUAUAUAAAAGAUAUAAUUAAUUCCUAAAACUUUCAAAAAAUUGAAAUUAAAUCCUAAGAUUUUAUCAAAUUAGUACAAUCAAGUUAACUUUUUUUCAAUUUGGUUAAAGAAAAUGCUGACAUGUCUUUUUCUCUCCUUUUUACACGUGGUGUGAAUAUGGCAUCCCCACCAUAUGAAAGAAAAUUGAGAUCUUUUUAAAAAAUAAAAAAAGGAUAAAAAUACUAAAAAGAGGGGUGAAAAGUGAAAACAAUUGGUUCAUCAAAAUCAAAGGUAGUUUUAUCGUUUAUCUUAUCUUUAACUAAAUAAAUUUGCAUCGUUAUGAUCAUUCAGCAAUCAAAUGUUAAAUAAACAAUUAUCGUUAGUCUUCUUCGGUUAAAUGUUAAAUAAAACUAACUCAUUUCAAAAAGUUCAUCUUCUACUUUUGUUAAAUAGAUCUAAUUAUUUUUAGUUAAAAAUUCUUAUGUGCAUAGAAGAUUCGAGCUUACUAUUCAUCUUCUUCUUUCGUUUUCUAUUUAAGUUCAUCAGUUGCAUCCUUAAGUUGUUGGGAGCAUCGACCACACGUUCGCGCGAGCACAAGCGAGGAGAGAGAGAGGGCCUUACCAUGGGAGCAAUAUAGAGGUAACGACGGUGAUUUGGAGGCGGCAAUUAGCAGAAAUGCUCAAGCUUGAAAAAGCCUAGAAGCUAAGGUAGCGAUGGCUGAGUUCAAUGAAAUUCGAGCAGCUAUGACAAAGAGCUCAAAGAGAAGUAUUCCAUAUUAUUUAAGAAGAACCGAAAAAACUCUUUUAUUUUAACAGAGAACUAGAAUACCAUUUCAAUUUAAUGAGCCAAUCAAAUGGCUUGCCUAAUUAAUCGAGCUUGGCUUGAUUGCUCGUGUCUUUUGAUUAACGUGUUGAAUUUCCAAAAAAGAAAAAAGUCAACCAUUCAAAGAAUGGCUAUAGAGAUCGAAUGUUUAAUUUGAAUUCAAAUUCGACACAAAUUGUGUUGUCGGAGUAAUCUCAGGGGUCAUGUCCAUAUCAUCGGUCAAGCCUAAACUCCAUGAUUUGGUGAAAGUUUGUAAUGGACGGUCAAUAUGGAUUGAUUUUUCCAAUAACAUAGGCAGGAGUAUGCCUUUAGGACUCUUCUCCAUAGUUUCGUCUUUCUUUUAAUAAUUCUUAUAUACCAUUGUUGACGACCCCUUUCCCCGCUUCAAUCACGGUUUUACACCUCACGGACAUUCACUUUUAUCGUAAGCAAUUAGGUAAUAUGCAAAUUGGCUUGAACGGCACCCUUUUCAUCACGACCACGUUACUAAGAAGAUAUUAAUUAGGUAGUAUGCGUGGGCUUUCUUUUAAUCCGAUUAGAAAAAGAGCAAAAGUACCAAACAGUCUAAUAUGUAUCGUAAAAUUAUAAUUGAUUCCUUAAAAAAAGUACCAAACGGCUUACCAUGAUUUCGCCGAAGAGGAGACGACAGCAAUUCAAAGGCAACAACGAGCGAAAAAGCUCAAGCUUCAUCAAGCUCGAAGAACCUUGGAAGCUGAGGAGGCCAUGGUCGAGCCCAGUGAAACUCGAGCAGCCAUGACCGCGAGCUCAUGGAGCUCUAGUGGCUAUGGCCAAGCUUCACUAAACUCGAGUAGAUACCGCUACCAGCACCUCUUGGCAUUCUCAUAUAUCAUGCUCUACACGAGAAAAUAUUUCGCUUGCUCCUCAUAUCACGUAGCAAUGACUUAGGAAAAGAAGCGAGAUAAUUUAGAACUUAAAUUUAAAAUCAAUUGAGAUGCAUA